rnacentral:rRNA from 1 species
UACGAAGGGGGCUAGCGUUGCUCGGAAUCACUGGGCGUAAAGCGCACGUAGGCGGACUCUUAAGUCAGGGGUGAAAUCCUGGAGCUCAACUCCAGAACUGCCUUUGAUACUGGGAGUCUUGAGUCCGGAAGAGGUAAGUGGAACUGCGAGUGUAGAGGUGAAAUUCGUAGAUAUUCGGAAGAACACCAGUGGCGAAGGCGGCUCACUGGCCCGGUACUGACGCUGAGGUGCGAAAGCGUGGGGAGCAAACAGG